CCACACUUAAAUUAUAUAAGUAGAAUUGACGCCGUAGAAAAACUUACAGACUAUAAUCAAAAUUAACAACAAUAAACUAAAUUAUAUGGAAUAUAAUCCUUAACCAAGCUAGAUUAUUCCCGAUACAAAAUUGACAAAAAAAAUUGAAUUUUUUUUUAUUAAAAAUCAUAAAGAGUAAAAGAGGCGAUUGCAAUUUAUAACCUUGCUUUGAGUCAAAAAGUAAAGUUAUAACCUUGCUUGCUAACUAGCGAUCAGGCCUUCCCAUCAUUGAUGUCAAGGCUGGACCUCUGACGGAAACCACCGUAGUUUGCCGAAAAGUCAUCCCGGAAAAUUGGACCGAUGACAUUAGAAGGAAAGCUAUGGCUGUAAAUAGGUAUGCAUAUUGAUGAUAUAUGUAUAUGCAUUUCCUUAAAAUCACAGUGCCUAAGAUAUGUAAGAACGCCAUGAAUUAAUAUAGUCUUGCAAUUUUCUGCGUUAUCGCCGUUGUCAAGAACCUAAACUCAG
rnacentral:lncRNA from 1 species